rnacentral:lncRNA from 1 species
CAACACACAGGCAUAAUGCGACCAUCUUCUGCCAAGCUAUACGGAAGUACAGACCUACUGGCAUAAAGAGAAGGAAGCUGAUCUUCGUGCAGAGCCCGGGGCAAAGUGGACCAGCCUCUCUCUAUUGAAUUACUCACUUCUCAGCAUUAGGCACUACAGGAGAAUCCUAGUUAUGUACCUACUUAACAGAGGGCUGACGGAGGAGCACGAAUUGAAGGCCAGACUAGUCUAUGCGGGUAGUUCCAGAUCCAUCUGAAUGACGUGGUGAGACCUUGCCUUAAAACAUACACUCUGUCUCCUUUUAAUGCUCACAGACUCACAAACACCAAACCCCAGUUGACUCCUUAGUUGGUUGUGUCCGGCUGAAACUCAGUGAGAAAUGAGUUACAGAGGCUGUGGAGGGAGAGGAGAAUGAGGAGG